rnacentral:rRNA from 1 species
CUUAACACAUGCAAGUCGCACGAGAACUCUUUAGCUUGCUAAAGAUAGUAAAGUGGCGCACGGGUGAGUAACGCGUGGGUAAUCUACCUCCGAAUUGGGGAUAACACCGCGAAAGCGAUGCUAAUACCGGAUAAUAUCUCAGAACCUUCGGGUUUUGAGAUCAAAGGUGGCUUCUUCAUGAAAGCUAUCGUUUGGAGAUGAGCCCGCGUACCAUUAGCUUGUUGGUGGGGUAAUGGCCUACCAAGGCUACGAUGGUUAGCUGGUCUGAGAGGAUGAUCAGCCACACUGGAACUGACACACGGUCCAGACUCCUACGGGAGGCAGCAGUGAGGAAUUUUGCGCAAUGGGGGAAACCCUGACGCAGCAACGCCGCGUGAGUGAUGAAGGCUUUCGGGUCGUAAAGCUCUGUCAAGUGGGAAGAACCUGCUUGGUGCCAAUACCACCAAGCACUGACGGUACCACUGAAGGAAGCACCGGCUAACUCCGUGCCAGCAGCCGCGGUAAUACGGAGGGUGCAAGCGUUAUUCGGAAUUAUUGGGCGUAAAGGGCGCGUAGGCGGUUUUUUAAGUCAGAUGUGAAAGCCCGGGGCUUAACCCCGGAAGUGCAUUUGAAACUAAGGGACUUGAGUAUGGGAGAGGGAAGUGGAAUUCCUGGUGUAGAGGUGAAAUUCGUAGAUAUCAGGAGGAACACCGGUGGCGAAGGCGACUUCCUGGACCAAUACUGACGCUGAGGCGCGAAGGCGUGGGGAGCAAACAGGAUUAGAUACCCUGGUAGUCCACGCAGUAAACGAUGAACACUAGGUGUAGCGGGUAUUGACCCCUGCUGUGCCGCAGUUAACGCAUUAAGUGUUCCGCCUGGGGAGUACGACCGCAAGGUUAAAACUCAAAGGGA